rnacentral:rRNA from 1 species
UACAGAGGUGGCAAGCGUUGUUCGGAAUUACUGGGCGUAAAGGGCUCGUAGGUGGCCAACUAAGUCAUACGUGAAAUCCCUCGGCUUAACCGGGGAACUGCGUCUGAUACUGGAUGGCUUGAGGUUGGGAGAGGGAUGCGGAAUUCCAGGUGUAGCGGUGAAAUGCGUAGAUAUCUGGAGGAACACCGGUGGCGAAGGCGGCAUCCUGGACCAAUUCUGACACUGAGGAGCGAAAGCCAGGGGAGCAAACGGG